ACUGGUAGCGUGGCCCCUAGCCUUUGGGUCAUCCCUGGCUUGAAGGUGGGGUUUCACUGGGGACCCAGCUCUUCCCGCCCGGAAACCUCUUAGCCUCCCACCGCCAUCAAUAUACCGGCUGCGGUGCCCAGGCUGUCCACGCUAAGGGGUGCCCACAGGCCCAUGCCGAGCCACCCUCAGCCCCGCAGCCUCCCUCACGUUCUCGUUAGUGCCCAGAGUCUGGAGGGGGCUGAGGCGGCUGGAGGCUGGUGUGUCAGCAGCCCUAUAUCACGCACAUGUCUGUCUGGGUCGCAACAGUUCCCCGGGCUCAGCCACAACUUUGCUUCACACCAAAGCAAGCCCUGGGAGCAGGGAGAGGCCAGGGAACAUGAGCAAGCACUUCCUAGCCUGCAAGGUCAGGGUGUUUCCCAGGCCCCCAAGAGCACAGGGCUGCCCAGGUCCAGAGCCACAGCUGGGCCGCUGCAACUGCACCUGGGAGCAUGGUGGGAGCAUGGUGCUCGCGUCCCGCCAGCUCUGUAAGGUGCAGGGUUCUUGCCUGUUUCUGGCCCCGGCUGGUUCUGUGAAGCAUGCAGGCCGGACUGCACCUCCCCCACUGCAGCUGGCGCUCUCGCAGUGGCCACUCCAGAGGGGGCACCACUGCCAUCAAAAGUAAGUACAAUUUGAGA
rnacentral:lncRNA from 1 species